UUCAAUAGUACGUGAAACCGUCCAGGGGUAAACCUGCGAAACUCGAAUGAACGAACGGAGAGAUUCAUCGUCAUUCCUCGGCGCACUUGCGUUGGCGCGAUGUCUUCGGCCUCGGUCGUCGGCACGUCUCGCGUUCGUCGCGUCCGCGGACGGCGUGCACUUCUCUCUUAGUAAUACAUCGCGACCCGUUCGAUGUCGGUCUAAGUGCGCCCAGCGGGAGUCUCCGCACCCUCUCGGGGUGUGCGGAGACCGCGUCGGCGCCACCGACCGGCUGUCGGACGGUAGAUUUGACGAAACGCUCACGCGCUCGCGCGCGUCCGGCCCGACGCAAGGCAACGCCGUAUCCCACGUUCUGCCCGAGUGCGGACGAGGGUGCUGCGCGCCUGUCGUCGCAGCCGUGCUGUCUCGGACUGUGUGCGUAUCUGUCUGCGAUGAUUCAGUUUCGGGCACUCGCAGGACCCGUCU
rnacentral:rRNA from 1 species